rnacentral:rRNA from 1 species
AUUGAACGCUGGCGGCAGGCCUAACACAUGCAAGUCGAACGAGUGGCGGACGGGUGAGUAAUGUCUGGGAAACUGCCUGAUGGAGGGGGAUCACUACUGGCAACGGUAGCUAAUACCGCAUACCCUCAGAUGUGCCCAGAUGGGAUUAGCGUGUUGGUGGGGUAACGGCGCACAAAGGCGACGAUCCCUAGCUGGUCUGAGCGGAUGACCAGCCAACCUGGAACUGAGACACGUUCCAGAAUCCUGCGUGAGGCAGCAGUGGGGAAUAUUGCACAAUGGGCGCAAGCCUGAUGCAGCCAUGCCGCGUGUAUGAAGAAGGCCUUCGGGUUGUAAAGUACUUUCAUCGGGGAGGCGUUACCCGCAGAAGAAGCACCGGCUAACUCCGUGCCAGCAGCCGCGGUAAUAC